rnacentral:rRNA from 1 species
CUGUUGGGUAGGGGAGCGUUGUGUAAGCGGAAGAAGGUUCAUCGAGAGGUGGGCUGGACGUAUCACAAGUGCGAAUGCUGACAUAAGUAACGAUAAAACGGGUGAAAAACCCGUUCGCCGGAAGACCAAGGGUUCCUGUCCAACGUUAAUCGGGGCAGGGUGAGUCGGCUCCUAAGGCGAGGCUGAAAAGCGUAGUCGAUGGGAAACAGGUUAAUAUUCCUGUACUUGGUAAAGCUGCGAUGUGGGGACGGAGUAGGUUAGGUUAUCGCACUGUUGGAUAUGUGCGUUUAAGUUGGUAGGUGGGAAGUUUAGGCAAAUCCGGGCUUCCUUAACACAGAGAGAUGAUGACGAGGCUCUACGGAGCUGAAGUAACUGAUACCACACUUCCAGGAAAAGCCACUAAGCGAAAGGCUUUACUAAACCGUACUGAAAACCGACACAGGUGGUCAGGUAGAGAAUACUCAGGCGCUUGAGAGAACUCGGGUGAAGGAACUAGGCAAAAUAGCACCGUAACUUCGGGAGAAGGUGCGCCGGCGUAGAUUGUAAGGGCUAGCCCCUGAAGGUUGAACCGGUCGAAGAUACCAGCUGGCUGCAACUGUUUAUUAAAAACACAGCACUCUGCAAACACGAAAGUGGACGUAUAGGGUGUGAUGCCUGCCCGGUGCUGGAAGGUUAAUUGAUGGUGUAAUCGCAAGAGAAGCACCUGAUCGAAGCCCCAGUAAACGGCGGCCGUAACUAUAACGGUCCUAAGGUAGCGAAAUUCCUUGUCGGGUAAGUUCCGACCUGCACGAAUGGCAUAAUGAUGGCCAGGCUGUCUCCACCCGAGACUCAGUGAAAUUGAAAUCGCCGUGAAGAUGCGGUGUACCCGCGGCUAGACGGAAAGACCCCGUGAACCUUUACUAUAGCUUGACACUGAACAUUGAAUUUUGAUGUGUAGGAUAGGUGGGAGCCUUUGAAGCAGUGACGCCAGUCAUUGUGGAGGCGACCUUGAAAUACCACCCUUUAACGUUUGAUGUUCUAACGAAGAUGACGAAACGUGGUCUCGGACAGUGUCUGGUGGGUAGUUUGACUGGGGCGGUCUCCUCCCAAAGCGUAACGGAGGAGCACGAAGGUUUGCUAAUCACGGUCGGACAUCGUGAGGUUAGUGCAAUGGUAUAAGCAAGCUUAACUGCGAGACAGACAAGUCGAGCAGGUACGAAAGUAGGUCAUAGUGAUCCGGUGGUUCUGAAUGGAAGGGCCAUCGCUCAACGGAUAAAAGGUACUCCGGGGAUAACAGGCUGAUACCGCCCAAGAGUUCAUAUCGACGGCGGUGUUUGGCACCUCGAUGUCGGCUCAUCACAUCCUGGGGCUGAAGUAGGUCCCAAGGGUAUGGCUGUUCGCCAUUUAAAGUGGUACGCGAGCUGGGUUUAGAACGUCGUGAGACAGUUCGGUCCCUAUCUGCCGUGGGCGUAGGAGAAUUGGUUGGGGCUGCUCCUAGUACGAGAGGACCGGAGUGGACGCACCACUGGUGUUCCGGUUGUGUCGCCAGACGCAUUGCCGGGUAGCUAAGUGCGGAAGAGAUAAGUGCUGAAAGCAUCUAAGCACGAAACUUGCCAAGAGAUGAGUUCUCCCAAUC